CUUCUCCUGGGGCUCAGGAUGCCGGGGCAGCCCAAGCCGAGGGCCCGGCAGCGAUGGGGGGCCGGGCGGGGCCUACCUGGCCCAUGAGGAUCUGUACCAGCAGGUCGGUGGCCAGCACAUGCGAAGGCUCCUCGAAGCCGAUGCUGUGUCUCCCUGGGAAAGUGACUUAUCGACUCUGAAAACACGUUUUCUUCAUUGUAAAAUGGAUGGACUGGUCCACACCUUUACGAACUGCUGUGUAGUCUACAUAAAGCACUUUUCAGGGCACAGUAAAAUGAGGGGCAUCCAGCGGCCGAUGGACCAGAGUUUCUGGAUUUGGGGGCACGAAUUGGCUGGACCCUGGCCUGCAUCCUCCCAUGUAUCUCGAUAACAUAAGAAGUAGCUGAGAGAAAUCAGAAGGAAAAGCAG